CAAGUGACAGAUAAUGAAAAAUGUCAAACAAAAGCGAAUAUUUGCUCGAAAAAACGCUUUUGGACAGAUUACAACCGCACCAAGUCGACUUAUUCCACUUGACGGAGUUAUCCGGUUUAAAUAUCAACCCUCAAAUCGUCUGCAUACUGAUUCAAAUGUUAAACAUGAAGAUUACACCCGAGGCUAUCUUCAGGUUGCUGCAGUCAAUUAAGAGGACUAAAAAGUCUAGGUCCGUUAAACAUUCGUACAGCAGCAAUUCUUCAAACUAAAUGUGCACUGUUUUAAUUUGUUUUCCCAUGUCCUCAUUAGAAUGUAAUUGAUAUCAUCAUCAGUAUAGAUAGGACUUUAGCUGUAGCACAUUAUGUGCAUGUAUUAACUAUAAAAAUAAAAGAAUUUUGAGUUUG